GCCUCCUUAGCUCAGCUGGACUAGAGCAGAUCACUUGUAAUGAUCAGGUCGUCGGUUCGAAUCCGACAGGGGGCUCCA
rnacentral:tRNA from 1 species